GGCUGACACAAUCCGAGCCCCAGCCCCCGCCGGGCCUUUUUGUCAGGUGGAAACCUAAGCUAAGCAAACAUACAAAAAAGUGUUAGUAUGCUCAACGCGACACUCGCCAGCCUCCAAUUUUCCACACCCCCUGGCCAGCCCGGGCCGUCCUGAAAUGUCCUUUUAGCCCAGGACAUGGCACACAUACGGAGAAGAGAAAAAAUAUUUUUAAUGGUCUUUUGGCCAGCAAAGCGGACGAAGAGGAUACAAAGGACGAGAUCCAGUGCCAGAACUACAGGCAGGAAGCCAAGGCGCAAGCGAAUUGUCGAAAGUUGAAUGAAUUGUCGGUUGAAUCGAAGGGACAGGUGUUAUCCUGUGGUAAUAUUUGUGUCCGAAACUAUUUGCAUAUGCCAGGCCAGGCUGGUUAUUUGUGGAAUGGUAAUCAGGGAUCAGAAAGGAUAGCAAGUUCUUCAAACUGCCGUCAGGACACGUGACAUUAAGGCCACCAAUGCCAAAGCUUGCCAAUCAAUUUAUGCGAUUCUGGGCCACCACUUUCCCCGAUUCCGACACUCGAACAACUCUUUAAACCAUUUACGUUUUGUCAUAAUUGCAAAUUUCGUUAUCAGAUCAUAACGAAUAAAUAGAGGGGAUCCUGGGGCGAGAGCCACACAAACAGACGCCAAACAUGACCUUUAUCAAAUCAGACUUAAUUCCCAUGAAAUCCGCAUCAACUGCGUGCAACAUCGCUGACCUUGCCCCGGCCCCUGGCCGAUGCUAAACCAGAAACCAACUUCCACACAAUAAAAGUAGAAAUAAAUCGGCACAGAGGCAGGAGGAUAUAUAGAAACACA
rnacentral:sRNA from 1 species